rnacentral:misc_RNA from 1 species
GAAAAGAAGGAUAAGAAGGAAAAGGAAGGAAAAGAAAUGCGAGUGUAAGAAGGAGAAGGGUGGACAUAAGAAGGAUGACAGUAUCAGCAACAGCGACUAAAGAGUUGCUGACACAUAAAAAGGCGAGCAUUGUUGGCUCAUUUUCACUGGAUUUUGAAAAGUAUAACUAAUAUAUGAUCAAAUAUUUUCUGUGAUCUAAUUAAACUCUUUUCCCUCCGUUCAGCAUUUACAGAAUUGAGGUCAAGCAGAGUGCCCGCUAACAUAAUCUUCAAAUAAAG